UACAGGGGGGCAAGGCGUUGUUCGGAAUUACUGGGCGUAAAGGGCUCGUAGGCGGCCAACUAAGUCCGACGUGAAAUCCCAAAGCUUAACUUUGGAACUGCGUCGGAUACUGGAUGGACUUGAAGUUCGGGAGAGGGAUGACAGAAUUCCAGGUGUAGCGGUGAAAUGCGUAGAUAUCUGGAGGAAUACCGGUGGCGAAGGCGGCAUCCUGGACCGACAUUGACGCUGAGGAGCGAAAGCUAGGGAGCAACGGG
rnacentral:rRNA from 1 species